rnacentral:rRNA from 1 species
GCUUAACCGGAGAAGUGCAUCGGAAACUGGAUAACUUGAGUGCAGAAGAGGGUAGUGAAACUCCAUGUGUAGCGGUGGAAUGCGUAGAUAUAUGGAAGAACACCAGUGGCGAAGGCGGCUACCUGGUCUGCAACUGACGCUGAGACUCGAAAGCAUGGGUAGCGAACAGGAUUAGAUACCCUGGUAGUCCAUGCCGUAAACGAUGAGUGCUAGGUGUUGGAGGGUUUCCGCCCUUCAGUGCCGGAGCUAACGCAUUAAGCACUCCGCCUGGGGAGUACGACCGCAAGGUUGAAACUCAAAGGAAUUGACGGGGGCCCGCACAAGCGGUGGAGCAUGUGGUUUAAUUCGAAGCUACGCGAAGAACCUUACCAGGUCUUGACAUCUUGCGCCAACCCUAGAGAUGGGGCGUUUCCUUCGGGAACGCAAUGACAGGUGGUGCAUGGUCGUCGUCAGCUCGUGUCGUGAGAUGUUGGGUUAAGUCCCGCAACGAGCGCAACCCUUGUUACUAGUUGCCAGCAUUAAGUUGGGCACUCUAGUGAGACUGCCGGUGACAAACCGGAGGAAGGUGGGGACGACGUCAGAUCAUCAUGCCCCUUAUGACCUGGGCUACACACGUGCUACAAUGGACGGUACAACG